rnacentral:rRNA from 1 species
UACAGGAGGGGGCAAGCGUUGUUCGGAAUUACUGGGCGUAAAGGGCGCGUAGCGGCCGCCUAAGUCAGACGUGAAAUCCCUCGGCUCAACCGAGGACGUGCGGAAGAAACUGCAAGGCUCGAGUCCGGAAGAGGGGGGCGGAAUUCCCAGUGUAGCGGUGAAAUGCGUAGAUAUUGGGAGGAACACCAGUGGCGAAGGCGGUCCCCUGGGCCGGAACUGACGCUGAGGCACGAAGGCCAGGGGAGCAAACGGG